rnacentral:rRNA from 1 species
UAGGGAAUCUUCCACAAUGGACGCAAGUCUGAUGGAGCAACGCCGCGUGAGUGAAGAAGGUCUUCGGAUCGUAAAGCUCUGUUGUUGGUGAAGAAGGAUAGAGGCAGUAACUGGUCUUUAUUUGACGGUAAUCAACCAGAAAGUCACGGCUAACUACGUGCCAGCAGCCGCGGUAAUACGUAGGUGGCAAGCGUUGUCCGGAUUUAUUGGGCGUAAAGCGAGCGCAGGCGGAAUGAUAAGUCUGAUGUGAAAGCCCACGGCUCAACCGUGGAACUGCAUCGGAAACUGUCAUUCUUGAGUGCAGAAGAGGAGAGUGGAACUCCAUGUGUAGCGGUGGAAUGCGUAGAUAUAUGGAAGAACACCAGUGGCGAAGGCGGCUCUCUGGUCUGCAACUGACGCUGAGGCUCGAAAGCAUGGGUAGCGAACAGGAUUAGAUACCCUGGUAGUCCAUGCCGUAA